GCUCCGCCCGGGCCCGGCUCAGCCAGGCCCCGCGGUGAGCCAUGAUUCGCCUCGGGGCUCUCCAGACGCUGGUGCUGCUGACGCUGCUCGUCGCCGCUGUCCUUCGGUGUCAGGGCCAGGAUGUCCAUUGUAAAUCAAUCGCAGAGGGAAACUCUUCGGCGGGGGGAAUAAAAGUUCUCUGCCUUCGAGGCUCUGUGGGCCCUGUCCUGCCACCAGGCUGUUUCCAGGGAUAGCGUGGAAGGCGGCGGGCUCAGGCGGGCUUUCCGGUCAUUAGCGCAGCGGGGGCAGGGCUGGAGCCUGCGGCGCAGCUGCGAGGAGCCGGGAGCAGGAGACUCUGGCCGGGUCACCCGGUAGUGCGCUAAGCUGGAGGCGCUCUCCUGGGCAUUUGAGGAAUACAGCGUGACUAUACGUGGCCUGGACUCAGACUGACUAUAUUUUUGUACUCAAUUUACAAGUACACGCCCACAAAGCUGUCUUCUUGACUGACCCCUGCCUUAGUGCGCAAUGGAAUUAGCUGGGUGGCUUUAAAAUAAUUCUCAAAUUCUC
rnacentral:sRNA from 1 species